rnacentral:rRNA from 1 species
AAUGAACGUUGGCGGCGUGGAUUAGGCAUGCAAGUCGAACGGGUCCGGCUUCGGCCGGGCCAGUGGCGGAAGGGUGAGUAAGGCGACGGCAACCAACCCCGAGGUCGGGUAUAGCCGCGGGAAACUGCGGGUAAUCCCCGGCGACGUGACGACGCCGACAUCGGCGUUUCACCAAAGGCGCAAGCCGCCUUGGGACGGGCCGUCGUGGUAUUAGGUAGUUGGCGGGGUAACGGCCCACCAAGCCGAUGAUGCCUACCGGGCGUGCGAGCGUGGCCCGGCACACUGGGACUGAGACACUGCCCAGACUCCUACGGGAGGCUGCAGUCGAGAAUCUUCGGCAAUGGGCGCAAGCCUGACCGAGCGACGCCGCGUGGAGGACGAAGGCCUUCGGGUUGUAAACUCCUGUCGAGGGGGAAGAAGGGGCCUCAAAACCCUUGACUGAUCCCUGGAGGAAGCACGGGCUAAGUUCGUGCCAGCAGCCGCGGUAAGACGAACCGUGCGAACGUUAUUCGGAAUCACUGGGCUUAAAGCGCGUGUAGGCGGGACGGCACGUCGGUCGCUGAAAGCCCCCGGCUCANCCGGGGAACGGGCGCCGAUACGACCGUCCUCGAGGGACGUAGGGGGACCUGGAACUUCCGGUGGAGCGGUGAAAUGCGUUGAGAUCGGAAGGAACGCCCGUGGCGAAAGCGAGGUCCUGGACGUUUACUGACGCUGAGACGCGAAAGCCAGGGAGCGAACGGGAUUAGAUACCCCGGUAGUCCUGGCCGUAAACGAUGGGCACUGGGUAGGGGCUCGCCGAUGGGCUCCCUGCCGUAGGGAAACCGUGAAGUGCCCCGCCUGGGGAGUAUGGUCGCAAGGCUGAA